GGUUAUGGCUCAGUGGUACAGUGCUUGCCUAGCAUAUUUGAGGCACUGGGUUCGAUUCUCAGCACCA
rnacentral:tRNA from 1 species